UUAUUAUUAUUAUUAUUAUUAUUAUUAUUAGUGGUGAGGCAUGGAGAGUGCUCCAAAGAAUUCAAAGUGCCUGGUCUAUUAAUGAAUGACACAGACUUUUAAACAAUAGAUGCUUGUUCCCCAGCUACUGCAAAUGCUUAGAAAGAACUAUAUUGCCUUGUAUACUCAAUAGCUUGGUAACAAAAGACUGUUUUUCUUUUAUUUAUUUUUCCUUCGAAUGGAUUUGAUGGUUCACUUGAACUUUAAAAAAUUGCAUAAAGGUUUACCAGUUACUGCAGAACUCUUCUGUCAGGGUUAAUAUGUGUGUCUAUGUGACAGAGACAUGCAGAGGCUCGUGCAUAGUUGUAAUCCUUGAUACAUCUUCUGUUUAAAGAAGCCAAAGCUAUGAAGAAUUUUGAAUAUUUAAUCUUUAAAAAAUUAAUUUUACAUAGAAUUUUUCAAAAGUUGCUUUUAACAUUCACACUGGUGUUUCAAGCUGUUAAGGGAAUUUUUUCUCUUGCAUUAUGGUGAGCGAAUGCACUCUUAUCUCUUUAAAAGAGAGGAAGGGCUUGGCAUCUCUCCCUUUUCUAAAACCUCAAUUAUCUGAAUGACCUUAAUGCAAGGAAAUGCUAAUCACACAUGGUUGCUCUGGCAUUAGGUUAAGUUGGAAACACAUUUUAAAUUUGGUUACCUGACUUCCAAAGAAUAGGGACUCUUUAUUUUAUUUCCCACUGGAAAUAUUUUAAAGAAAGCUAAAGCUAAAUAAAAUCAUACUGAUCUGCAGCAUUAGCACAGAACAGGAAUGAAGAAGUGACUUGUGACAUUUGUGAGGUAACUUCCAUGCCAGGAUAGAAAACUAGCACCUGGAACUUUUAUCUGAAGCUGAGUGGCAUUGCCAUUACGUUCUGGUAAAACCAAGGAGCCUUUGUCUGAUCUAAAUGUUUACCAUUACAGUGCCAGAUGCCAAAGUCUUCAGCUUAAAGCAGAAAUGCAGGGAAGGCCAUAGACAAGUAAAGCAUCAUUGGUUUCGGAACAAAUGCUUGGUGCCUAUGGAGAAGGGCUUAUGGCUCAAGUGGUAGAUCUCUGGAUAAUUUGAGGUUAUGCCGCAGUUUACUUUUCCCACUAGCAGAAGGAUCCAAUUUGGAUGAAUUUCACAGUAACAACUCUGCUGCAGUCCUUGCCAUCCUGGAUCAGUUUGGGACGGAAUCCAGCUAAGGCUUAUUUCUGCAAAGUAAUUUUGACUG